rnacentral:rRNA from 1 species
UACGGGGGGGGCAAGCGUUGUUCGGAAUUACUGGGCGUAAAGGGCUCGUAGGCGGCCAACUAAGUCGGAUGUGAAAUCCCCAGGCUCAACUUGGGAACUGCAUCCGAUACUGGAUGGCUUGAAUUCGGGAGAGGGAUGCAGAAUUCCAGGUGUAGCGGUGAAAUGCGCAGAUAUCAGGAGGAACACCGGUGGCGAAGGCGGUUCUCUGGGCAUUACCUGACGCUGAGGAGCGAAAGUGUGGGGAGCGAACAGG